rnacentral:rRNA from 1 species
CCUACGGGAGGCAGCAGCGAGGAAUAUUGGACAAUGGGCGAAAGCCUGAUCCAGUCAUGCCGCGUGUGUGAAGAAGGUCUUCGGAUUGUAAAGCACUUUAAGUUGGGAGGAAGGGCAGUAAGUUAAUACCUUGCUGUUUUGACGUUACCGACAGAAUAAGCACCGGCUAACUCUGUGCCAGCAGCCGCGGUAAU